rfam:Penicillium marneffei ATCC 18224 scf_1107713384299 genomic scaffold, whole genome shotgun sequence.
AAGAGUAUAGUUUAAUGGUAAAACCGCAAACUUCAAAUUUGCAUUUCUUAGUUCGAAUCUGAGUACUCUUG